CCCUACGGGGCGCAGCAGUCGAGAAUUUUUCACAAUGGGCGAAAGCCUGAUGGAGCGACGCCGCGUGGGGGAUGAAUGGCUUCGGCCCGUAAACCCCUGUCAUUUGCGAUCAAACCCCGUUAUUUAAAAGAUGACGGGCUGAUAGUAGCGAAAGAGGAAGGGACGGCUAACUCUGUGCCAGCAGCCGCGGUAAUACAGAGGUCCCAAGCGUUGUUCGGAUUCACUGGGCGUAAAGGGUGCGUAGGUGGUGAGGUAAGUCGGAUGUGAAAGCUCGGAGCUCAACUCCGAAAUGGCAUUGGAAACUACCUUGCUCGAGGGUUGGAGGGGGGACUGGAAUACUUGGUGUAGCAGUGAAAUGCGUAGAUAUCAAGUGGAACACCAGUGGCGAAGGCGAGUCCCUGGACAACUCCUGACACUGAGGCACGAAAGCUAGGGGAGCAAACAGGAUUAGAUACCCCGGU
rnacentral:rRNA from 1 species